AAAAAAAGAUAAAGGAAGUUCUACAGGCCAAAGAAAAAUGACACCAGAUGAAACCUUGAAUCUACACAAGAGAAAGAACAUCAACAAUGUGCCUUUGAAGAAUGCUUGCAUAAAGAAAACGUCCAUAAUACACUGCUAUUGAAGAUUUAUGGCUGACUGGCCUAACUUCUCCUGGAGGACACCAAAUCUGUGAAGCUCCAAGCUUUGGGCAAUAUGAAAUAAAAAGGGAUUAAACACA